GGACGGACUUCUGGAGAGACCUUAUUAGGCGCCGAAGGGGCAAGGCAAAACUGCUCAAUCUCUCAGGCAAAAGGACAGAAGAUUAAAA
rnacentral:ncRNA from 2 species